GUCUAUGGCCAUGCCACCCUGAACAAGCCCGAUCCCAUCUGAUCUCAGAAGCUAAGCAGGGUUGGGCCUGGUUAGUACUUGAAUGGGAGACCACCUAGGAAGAAGAGGUGCUGUAGGCG
rnacentral:rRNA from 1 species